AGGUAUGCUACGGGAACAUGUCAUGCCUUACAAGGGAAUAGGUGUGGCAUGUCAGGUCACCGGAGCCAUGCCUCAGCCAUAGCCACCUCCACCUUCGCAGCCUCAGCCACAGCCACCACCACCUAUACAGCCACCACUACCCCCACAGUCACAUCCUGUACAGAGGUCCCCAUUAGAGAAACUAUGGAAAUAUGGAGCAGUUGACUUCAAGGGUAAGAAG
rnacentral:misc_RNA from 1 species